GCAAUAAUCAUUGUAGUAGUACUAAAGAUUAGGAAACUGAGAAAAAGGAGUUCAGUUUUAUUUUGGUUAGUACUCGUUCACAGUAUCUUGAACCACCUCAGCAGUGGCUUCUUUGCACUACAUUUCCCCUCUCCUUCACCAACCGUCUAAAGAGAUUGAGGCUGGCUUGUCAUGCCCACACCUGCACUGUUGGGUGCUCCCUGAUUCCUCCAGACGGAAGUUUCAAACAAAUGGGUAGUAAUCCUGUUAUCUCCACGCACCUCCUAUCUCUAUUGUUUUCUGCAUAGUUUAGUGCCGGGAACAUAUCAUGUGAAAACAAGAUAGAUUCUGAAAAUCUGAAAACUUCCGUCCCUAGCCCUUGGAUCAUGUUCUAAGGGUCGGAUUUGAGUCUUUGUCCUCCCACCAAUCCCUUGCUGCACAUUUUCUAGAAACCCCCUUGACCUGGCAUGCUAGUAAUUUCAAGAUGUUUCAUUUGCUCAGCCCAACGAGGAAAACAGAUUCUUGACACACACAGGUGUUUAAUCAACGGGACCAUCUUGUGAAUAUUUAGACCAAGAACUGGAAUCCUCUCAUAAAGAACACAACCACGAACAGGGGAGCACAUCUGAUUGCAAAUUUCAACAAAUCGAAAAUCAAGAAAUAGGAAAUCCAAGACAGUUGGUUCCCAGAAUAUUAAGAUCUGCUCUUUGUGUCCACCAGAUCUGUGCGGCCACUCCAUACAAAAUCGAGAGUGCUGCGUUGGACUUUCGUCGUCGAGGAAAUCGUCUCCUGUCGCCGGGAAUCACUUCCGGCCGCAGUGGAAAGAUGGGGAAGAGCACAGCCAUGAGACUGAUGAGAGGAAGAUCUGAUGGCUCUCUGUUGUACUUCUAGAGGGCCUUUGUGCAAAACGAGUGGAGGUGGGACUGAGGUGGGAAAUCUAAGUGUAGGUACAUGAUCCAGCGGUGCAAAACAACAUUUUCAGAUUUUCAGAAUCUGUCUGUUUCCACCUGAUACGCUCCCGUUUAGUGCCCCCCUAAUGAACAGCUAUGAUCUAUGUAUUCUACUCCCUCCGUCUCAGUUUACUAGUCUUCCCCGUAUCCCUAGGUCGCCAAUUUAACCUAUAUAAUUUAAAUUAUAUAAUACACAAAUUAUAUCAUUAGAAAAUAGAACAUCUAAACUUUCUAAUGAUAUAAUUUUUAUAACGUAUAACUAAUGCGAACUUGAUUAAAUUAAAUUUGCGACCUAGGGGUACGCGCACGCCUAAUAAACUGUGAGAGAGGAAUUAGCUAGAACACACCAUAAUGUAAGUCAUAUAGAUUUGUUGAUGUCAUUCAAUAAUUCAUAAUUUAAUGGCCUCUUCAUUCAUUCUAUUGAUAGUUAUGUUCAUAGAAUGAAGAUAAUUUUCAAUGUAAACUUUGCACAAAGGCCAAAUCCUUUUUUUGCUGGUCAGACUGAAAUUGGACUGGAAAUUUUUCAGUAGUUUUCUCUAUGACUUAACUCUUUCGAAGAGCUAAUUUUAGAAGCUCUGAAGAAAAGGUAAUUUUCAUAACACCUGCAAUCUACAUCCUAUUAAGCAUCACAAAUUUACCGUGGAUCACUUAGUUGUGGAUAUUCCGAGGUCUACAUUCCCUUUCUGCAUAUAUAAUUUUAGAGUUGCAGCCAUAAGCAUAUUCAACUGUAUUUUUCUACUUUAGCCUGCAAAAGAUGGUGUAAAUAAUCGUCUUGAGAUUAUCUCCCUAGGUGGUAUUUACUGAUUUAACAUGUUCAAAUAUUAUUUCUCUCCAUAAGAUACUUGCACCUUGGUGGGGCACCCUGAGUUUGUGGUGGCAUGGUAGUACAGCUGGGCAUGGGCAGCCCGGCCCGGACGACCCGGCCCGAAAAUCCCGGGCCGGGCCGGGUCGGGCUUGCACUUCGGGCCGGGUUCGGGCUUGUAUUUUGAGCCCGAACGUCGGGCCGGGCCGGGCUCGGGCUUGCAGUUUUUACACUUUAGGCAGGUUUGGGCCGGGCUUCUCGGCCGGGCCGGGCUUUUGUCUAUUCAGGCCGGGUUCGGGCUUAAUUUAUAGGCCCGACGGUCGGGCCGGGCCGGGCUCGGGCUUGGCAUUUUACGUUCGGGCUUUUUCGGGCUUGGCCCGAAGCCCGGCCCGGCCCGAGUUUUGCCCAGGUGUACUGGUAGACUAACCUUGGCUAUUGUUUGUGUUUUGUCAUUGCUUUCUUUUGUUAGAUUUAUGACAUGUAUUUUUUUCCUGAUUCUUCUCUUUUUGAACUUCAUGUAUUUUAAUAAUGAGCCAAUAGUACUGAUAUUUUGUGAUUUUGGAGCAGCCACAAUGUGGGUAGAAUCAAGUUUACUAAGAACUAAGUGAAAUAAUAGAAUACAUAUGCUCUUUAUUUGUAGAACCAUUGAAUAUUAUGAUUCUCUAGAAUUUCUAGAUGUUCUUUUUGUGUCUUACUUUAUAGGUUACUUGCAAGUGGAAAAUAUAGCAUACAUUUUCCUUUCCUUUAUACAGUUAGCUUACUGCUUAAAACUAUCAAACCAAAAAGUUCCAUGUAACUAGCUAAAUAGUUCUUGAUGCUUACUUCUUGGGACAAAAAAGUUAAAUCUAACUUGCUACAUCAUAAUGUGAUCCUGGUUCCUUUUCAUCUACUUGUGCAAAAGCAUUGGCCUCCACACGAUAGAUGUCUUCACCGUACUUUUAGUUUGUGUCUUCAUUUUAUUCUUGUGCUGGACUUUCAACAGUGCACAUGCAGUUUCAUCGAAAGGAUGGCAAAGGUUCGGCCCUAUGUAUUGCGUUAGUAGCCUUGGUAAUUAAUAUAUUUGCAUACUUUUUUAACUUUAAAAAUAUUCAUCUGUUUUCCACUCAAAAAUCUAUACUCAAUGGCUGAAUAAUAUUAGACAGCUCGUACUACAUGUGAUUAUAAGAGUUGGAAGAUAGAAAAAGGAAUACUUAUGUUUUGUAGUGUGGUGUAUAUGCACUGCUCGCCCUUUGUUUUUACUCAAUGGAUAUGUAUCAUUUUUUGAUUCCUCGAUGUAGUGGUGUUGUCCUGUAGGCCUUGGUUUCCUGAUUGAGUUGUUUUACUCUACAGUUCUAGGUAUAGAUCAUAUGUUCUUCUAUUCAGUUCAACACUUCUACAUUUUACAUUUGAGUGAGAAUCUGAGACGCAUUGUGAAAUUUUCUGAAAAUAAAUAUUUCGCUGCAACAAUCAUCAGCAUUCAGUGAUACGCGCACGUCAAUGGUCAAUUUCAUAAAAGCUGUAACAUAAUGGUAUUGUACUAAUGUGUGUUUCCUGACCUAUAGAAUUAAUAUGCAUACGCUACUCACUGCCAUUGUUAUUGUACUGCAGUUAAAAGAUGACAAUAUGUUAAUUUAUUCUUUGACUCUAUUUUUUGGGGUUGCAUUUAUAGGAUAAUUAUUAUUUAGGGGUAGCUGCAGUUGCUCACAUUUUUUCAGUUUGAGAUCCUACUUUCAGGUUUCGUGUGUGCUCAUUCUUUGUGUAGAUGCCGAAAAAGUUAAUUUGGAUGGCAAGAUAUUCCACUGUGACCCAACAUCUCUAUAUGUUCCUUGUGGCCUUCCCUACAUCUCUUUUUAUUUGAAAACUUAUUGGUUUGAUGAUGGAUCUUUAUAAACUACUUUACAUUUUACAUGAGGUAGUAGUAGGUCAUGGGAUUGCUUAUCAUGAUCUUAUUUUCAGUUGAAAAUAUUAUUUGGGUAACUUCUGCUUUUAUAUUAUAUAGUAAUUAUUAAGCUUUAAGACAUGUCAUUCUAGAAAGGCGAGCAAAAGCUUCUUUGCUUCAUGUUGGUUCGAUCGGAACUUAUUUCAACAUUUUCUCUCGUAAUAGUAACUAGAAUAUGAACCUUCCAUUUACCUUCUAUGGGACCAGCUCUCAGUUUAACAUGUCUUAUUCCAUUGGUAAGCAGUGAAAGGGUCUUCGUAGGUCAAUUUUUAUGUAUGACACAUCUACUUGGCACAAACCCAUUUGAUACUACAUCCUGAAUGUUGCAUCACAUUAUGAGACUAUCAGUUUUCUUUCUUUUUCAGCUUGCUGGAAUUCUUAAUUAGGGAUUUAAGGUUGUAUGUUGUAAUAUUCAUCACACUGGGGGGCUCAUGGCUGCUCUAUUAAAUUGGUUAGAUACAUCGAGCCAAAAUAGUAAAAGGAAAAUGCAUAAUACUCUUUAUCACUUACCGGAAACAUCGGUCAUGGUUUGUUGUGGAUUUCCAUAGUUCAGCUGGUGGUAAAUUGGAACACUUUGGUUAAUGUUACUUCUCUGGUUAUGAAAUGUGUAGCAUAAAUCAGUCCACUGAAAACAAUCCACAACACUAAAGCUAUUUUUCACCUGACAGAUAUGCAUAGGUUUUGCCAUCCCUCUUUAUUGUGCUAACUUGCUCUGCCUUCAGAUUAAACUAGAAAAAUAUUUCUUUUCUCAACUGUUAGUAUCUGAAAAUUGUGCGUAAAAUUAAUGUUUAGCGGUGUGCUAGAAAGAAUCAGGAGCAACUCUCAGUUUGUGGAUAAUUAUAAUUAGGUCAACACCUCUUACUUGUAGAAAACCAUUGCCGGCUUAUGUUGUCUUAAGUUGGCACUUUAGAUUCUUAAUCAUUAGCACACAUGGUUUUUGUAGUUUGCACCUUUUGUUGCUAUCUUUACCCUUAAGAAAAGCACAAUCAUGAUAUAUGCGGCAUCCAUUGUUAUGUUAGUAUUAACUGAAGAUUGAUUCCCCCGAACUAAUACUUUCUCUCUCUGCUCCAUGCUAGCAACUCGAUGGAAACCGUCAAGAUCCGAUCUACCGUUAUAGUAGAGGCCAUACUGGAGAAGCUAUGCCUUCCACGCCCCAAGUAUCAGAGACGUAUAUUAGAAGGAAGUCAAUGUGUGGUGGUGACUGUUGUGUUUUACCGCUCUAUGCAGCAACUUGAGUGCUUUGCCACUCAGUCACUGUCCAGCGACCUUUCAGAUUCUUUAGAGACAUUCAAGAACAAUAUUGCAGUCCAAGCAAUCAAAUACAUGGAGAUGGUUCAGAAGGCCGUGAAAGACUUCAGCCACACCAAGUUGGAAAAGAAAAAGGGAAAUGAAGUAUUACUGACAAAUAAAGAGAAGGAUGAGAAGAUCGGAUAGAAGGACAAGCAGCUCAAACAGGUUACCAGAUCUUUGGGAUGGUUUCAUAAAUCUGCUGCAACCAAUCUAUUUAUUCUGUCGAUGCCACAUCUCUCUCCGCACAAAACCUACAUCAACUGUGGUUGCUGUACUUCAAAGAGGAGUUCAAUUUCCCAAGUAUAUUAUAUUAUCAAAGUUUGUAACAGGUUCUCACAUGAUCCUUUUCUGUUUUCAAGCAUAGAUGUAAAAAACUAAAAACAUGUUCAAACAUACUCCAAUUUCCAAACAAUACUGUGUCUGUUUAUAA